rnacentral:rRNA from 1 species
GAGUUUGAUCUUGGCUCAGGAUGAACGCUAGCGGCAGGCUUAACACAUGCAAGUCGAGGGGUAGAACACUUCGGUGUUUGAGACCGGCGCACGGGUGCGUAACGCGUAUGCAAUCUGCCUUUUACAGAGGGAUAGCCCAGAGAAAUUUGGAUUAAUACCUCAUAGUAUUAUUGAAUGGCAUCAUUUAAUAAUUAAAGUUCCAACGGUAAAGAUGAGCAUGCGUCCCAUUAGCUAGAUGGUAAGGUAACGGCUUACCAUGGCGACGAUGGGUAGGGGUCCUGAGAGGGAGAUCCCCCACACUGGUACUGAGACACGGACCAGACUCCUACGGGAGGCAGCAGUGAGGAAUAUUGGUCAAUGGGCGCAAGCCUGAACCAGCCAUGCCGCGUGCAGGAUGAAGGUCCUAUGGAUUGUAAACUGCUUUUGUACAGGAAGAAACACUGGAACGUGUUCCAGCUUGACGGUACUGUAAGAAUAAGGAUCGGCUAACUCCGUGCCAGCCGCCGCGGU